rnacentral:lncRNA from 1 species
GCAGCAGGUCCAAACAGGAGCUGAGUACAGACAAAGCCAGAAGGCCUGAGCUGCACCGUGGAAGUCCUCACUCCUGAGAGUGCGGGGGUAAAAACAGCCCAGCGUUGGUGAGCAGCUGGGAGGUGUAAUGUGAAGCGCACAGGCGGAGGGGAGAAGGGAAGAAAGUCAGCUUCACAGGGCCGCUGACCAGCGGGCCACUAAUGAAAACAGUAUGCAGUGCCCCCCCCCCAAAAAAAACACCACCACCCCACGCCCUUCCUAUGCCUUCAGAAAGUGAAGGAUCUACUGUAUGUUUCCCUGUGUUGACCACAUCUGAAGUCAACCAAAGAUCUGGACUUACUCUUCCAGCUUCAGCAGAUCCUUGCAGAUGAAUGGGCGUAAGGACUGGAUUGACAGGCCAUUGAUGGCCUGCCAGGGAGCUAAUUCUGUGUGUCCACUACACCCCAAAGACAAAUGAUGAAAUGGGUCGAACAAGAGUGUUUAACCCAAUCACGUUUAAAGCUCCAUGGGCACAGUGACGGGGGCUGUGACCUUAAUUAAGUGUACAAAUAAUUAGUUGACCUCAGCUAAUGAGCAUUUCCAAAAAUAACAGAGCUCUAUGGCCUCUAAUGAAUAGAUGGAUGGUCGCACUACAUCAGGAGUGUCCAAGGGCAUCGCAGGCCGAAGGUUCAAUGAGUGUCCAGGCCUGCUCUGAAAGGUAGUCUCAGUUUAUCAGUUGGCAGAGGAUGUGGUGAUAUGAAGUGAUGCAUGUGAUUUUGUUUUUGCCGUUUCUAAAACAGCUUAAAGCGUCACUGCCAAGCUGUCUCUUAUGGGGAUGAAUUGAUUGGAAAUAUGACCUGUUGUUGACAUGUUUCUGAACAAAUAAAUGGAAUUUCUCCUCGCA